CUAAUGUCCGCAGGCUGGCGGCCCCAGGCUGGGCUGGGCGAGUACCUCUUGGAAAGGCUCACCCUCAGACAUGGCUAGGAGG
rnacentral:pre_miRNA from 1 species